GACAAUGGGCGAAGCCUGAUGCAGCAACGCCGCGUGAGGGACGACGGCCUUCGGGUUGUAAACCUCUUUUAGCAGGGAAGAAGCGAAAGUGACGGUACCUGCAGAAAAAGCACCGGCUAACUACGUGCCAGCAGCCGCGGUAAUACGUAGGGUGCAAGCGUUGUCCGGAAUUAUUGGGCGUAAAGAGCUCGUAGGCGGUUUGUCGCGUCUGCUGUGAAAUCCCGAGGCUCAACCUCGGGUCUGCAGUGGGUACGGGCAGACUAGAGUGCGGUAGGGGAGAUUGGAAUUCCUGGUGUAGCCGGUGGAAUGCGCAGAUAUCAGGAGGAACACCGAUGGCGAAGGCAGAUCUCUGGGCCGUUACUGACGCUGAGGAGCGAAAGGGUGGGGAGCAAACAGGCUUAGAUACCCUGGUAGUCCACCCCGUAAACGUUGGGCGCUAGAUGUGGGGACCAUUCCACGGUUUCCGUGUCGUAGCUAACGCAUUAAGCGCCCCGCCUGGGGAGUACGGCCGCAAGGCUAAAACUCAAAGGAAUUGACGGGGGCCCGCACAAGCGGCGGAGCAUGCGGAUUAAUUCGAUGCAACGCGAAGAACCUUACCAAGGCUUGACAUAUACGAGAACGGGCCAGAAAUGGUCAACUCUUUGGACACUCGUAAACAGGUGGUGCAUGGUUGUCGUCAG
rnacentral:rRNA from 1 species